CACGACGCUUGAUUAACGGCUGUGGCAAGUGCCUCCUAAUCCUAGGGAGAGUACUGGACGAUUCCGUCUUCUUGGCCUUGCCACCCAUCUUGCUACCAGCAUGAUUGCCUUGCCUAUCACCACUAGGGGCUUUUCUCUUAAGUCCUAUGUUGCUAGUGGACGAACGGGCAGUAGCGGGUAUGUUGGCGGCGCUAUUGGUGGGCGCUUUGUGGUUUGCUGGUAACAAUGCUA
rnacentral:lncRNA from 1 species